rnacentral:rRNA from 1 species
UACGAAGGGGGCCAGCGUUGUUCGGAAUUACUGGGCGUAAAGCGCACGUAGGCGGAUAUUUAAGUUAGGGGUGAAAUCCCAGGGCUCAACCCUGGAACUGCCUUUAAUACUGGGUAUCUCGAGUCCGAGAGAGGUGAGUGGAAUUCCGAGUGUAGAGGUGAAAUUCGUAGAUAUUCGGAGGAACACCAGUGGCGAAGGCGGCUCACUGGCUCGGUACUGACGCUGAGGUGCGAAAGCGUGGGGAGCAAACAGG